rnacentral:rRNA from 1 species
UACAGAGGGUGCAAGCGUUGUUCGGAAUUAUUGGGCGUAAAGCGCGUGUAGGCGGCCGUGCAAGUCGGGUGUGAAAGCCCUCGGCUCAACCGAGGAAGUGCGCCCGAAACUGCAUGGCUUGAGGUACCGGAGAGGAUGGCGGAAUUCCCCAAGUAGAGGUGAAAUUCGUAGAUAUGGGGGAGGAACACCGGUGGCGAAGGCGGCCAUCUGGACGGAUACUGACGCUGAGGAGCGAAAGCCAGGGGAGCAAAGCGGG